rfam:Nomascus leucogenys chromosome 14, whole genome shotgun sequence.
AUCCUUUUGCGGCUGAUAUGUGUGAUGAGGGGGUUUUCACACUCUUGCAUGGGACGUGAAACAUCUUUAGAACAGUGGCACAUUACCUGUCUUACA